rnacentral:rRNA from 1 species
CACCGGCGGCCCGAGUGGUAACCGCUUUUAUUGGGUCUAAAGGGUCUGUAGCCGGCCAAGUAAGUCCCUUGGGAAAUCUGGCAGCUUAACUGUCAGGCUGCUAGGGGAUACUGCUAGGCUUGGGACCGGGAGAGGUGAGAGGUACCUUGGGGGUAGGGGUGAAAUCUUGUGAUCCUCGGGGGACCACCAGUGGCGAAGGCGUCUCACCAGAACGGGUCCGACGGUAAGGGACGAAAGCUAGGGGCACGAACCGGAUUAGAUACCCGGGUAGUCCUAGCCGUAAACGAUGCUCGCUAGGUGUCAGUCACGGUGCGACCGUGAUUGGUGCCGUAGGGAAGCCGUGAAGCGAGCCACCUGGGAAGUAUGGCCGCAAGGCUGAAACUUAAAGGAAUUGGCGGGGGAGCACUACAACGGGUGGAGCCUGCGGUUUAAUUGGAUUCAACGCCGGAAAUCUCACCGGGGGCGACAGCGAUAUGAAGGUCAGGCUGAAGACCUUACCCGAUUAGCUGG